rnacentral:misc_RNA from 1 species
GAAAUGGUAUAUUUACAUUGUUCCCAUGAUGAUGUUUUGUGGUCGUUAAUAUUUGUAUGUUCACGUUUUACUGAGGUAUACCAUAUAAUCUACAAACAACUCUUUAGAAUAAACCAACAACAAAAAAUUGCUUCAAAACGCAAGGUUAAUAAAUUUAUUCAGAUACAGGAACGCUAUUCUUUGUGACAUAUGCCGGUUAAUGAAACUUGUAAAACUGCUCGUUCUCUGUAAAACGUGCAGCAUUUCCUCUCCUGUACAACCAUCUUGAAAUUCAUCAUUCAUACUUGGUUCCGUUGUGAUAGAAACUUUAAUUUGUUACCAUUGAUAAGCUUACGAAAGUUAGUGUUUAGUGAGAGGGUGUUUUUAUGUGCAAUAAUAUUUAACCAAUGAUUCCAAGGUAACCACAUUUAUAAUCUGCUAUCACGUGACUCUCGUCCAUUGACGACCUAGAUGUUGUACCACUUGCGUAUCUUGUUUUACAUGUACAUAUAAUUACAUGACUGCAUAAUUCUUACUUUAUGUUUUUGAAACACUAUUGUACAAACAUAGUUCAAUGACAAUGAUUGUGUAUAUAUAAGUAAACGUGUCUGACUAUAAACUAAUAUGUUUCGCAAUAACUGCUGUAUUGGUUUAUCAAAGGGCCAUAAUUGUAAACAAACCGUGAUAUUUUUGAUACGAUAAAGUCAUAUAUAAAGUAUAUUUAAGAUAUUCCUUAUAAUAAAAUAUUGAAUGG